rnacentral:sRNA from 1 species
UUGACAGACCUGGAAAAAAGAAAAUCUCUGUCCAUGAGAACACGCAUGACUCAGCAGCAGUGCAAGCUUUCCCACAUUGCCCUAUCUGUGUGCCUCAGGUCUCAUAAUUAGAGGGACCUUUUCAAGGGUUGAGAAGUUAAUUCUGUUUCCAUACUCACAAUCCUUCAGUUCU